UGGGGAAUAUUGGACAAUGGGCGCAAGCCUGAUCCAGCCAUGCCGCGUGUGUGAAGAAGGCCUUCGGGUUGUAAAGCACUUUCAGCGAGGAGGAAGGGAUAAGCGUUAAUAGCGGUUAUUUUUGACGUUACUCGCAGAAGAAGCACCGGCUAACUUCGUGCCAGCAGCCGCGGUAAUACGAGGGGUGCAAGCGUUAAUCGGAAUUACUGGGCGUAAAGCGUACGUAGGCGGUUAAUUAAGUUGGAUGUGAAAGCCCCGGGCUCAACCUGGGAAUUGCAUUCAAAACUGGUUGACUAGAGUAUGUGAGAGGGGGGUAGAAUUCCAAGUGUAGCGGUGAAAUGCGUAGAGAUUUGGAGGAAUACCAGUGGCGAAGGCGGCCCCCUGGCACAAUACUGACGCUGAGGUACGAAAGCGUGGGGAGCAAACA
rnacentral:rRNA from 1 species